rnacentral:rRNA from 1 species
GGGAUAUUGCACAAUGGGGGAAACCCUGAUGCAGCGACGCCGCGUGAGUGAAGAAGCAUUUCGGUGGGUAAAGCUCUAUCAGCAGGGAAGAAGAAUGACGGUACCUGACUAAGAAGCCCCGGCUAACUACGUGCCAGCAGCCGCGGUAAGACGUAGGGGGCAAGCGUCAUCCGGAUUUACUGGGUGUAAAGGGAGCGUAGACGGCAAUGCAAGCCAGAUGUGAAAACCCGCAGCUCAACUGGGGGAGUGCAUUUGGAACUGUGUAGCUGGAGUGCAGGAGAGGUAAGCGGAAUUCCUGGUGUAGCGGUGAAAUGCGUAGAUAUCAGGAGGAACACCAGUGGCGAAGGCGGCUUACUGGACUGUAACUGACGUUGAGGCUCGAAAGCGUGGGGAGCAAAC